UGAGAGAGACCCAGGCCGCAGGGGAUAAGGCCAUGGCUAAACUGGGGGCGGGGGGCUCAGGCUUUGGCCAGAAGGGAGGAGACCCAAACAAAGGGGGUGAGGGAUAGGGGCCAGACUCAGGACAAAGGGUGCUAGGAACAGGGUAAAGGGGAACUAGAAACAAGGCAGGCGUGGAAUAGCCCCAUUACCCUAAAAGCCUCGCUAGAAACUCUGUGGUGAUCACAUUUCGCUGGACAGACACUGAGGCAACUUUACAAAGGAGGGGUCUCAGCUUGGAAGGUCACCUCUGUUGCCUUCCUCACAGGCUAGCUCUUGAGCCAGCUAUGGCUGUGAACCGCAGGACGAUGUGAUUUCAUAACAACAAAACCUCAAAUAUGUAAAGGCUGUUUAAUUAUCCCAGCACAAUCUUUUAACAAUAGACAUUUGUCUUGCAAUUUGAGCCCUGCGUUCUUAACACCUUUUGCUUUGAGACCGUUGGGGUCUGCCACUGUUUUAGUGAAGUUGCUUCUUCCAAAUUGCACUGCCAGAAGCACUGCACCUCGCGAUUGCUCGAAAUUACAUCAUCCACAAAGAGGUAAAGUGCCCAGAGGCUAGAGGAAGGACUAGUCCAGAUUCUUUUGUUGUCACGUAGGAGAAUGAAGCUGUGGUUGCAGUUUAAAAGUAAGAAGAAUGAAAAGUGUAAGAAUCAGGACUAGAACUCAGCAGGUCCUAGCUCCUACUGCUGUGAUUAGACCAUUAGACCUAGCACUAGGUUGCUAUUUAUUAAUUACUGUUGUUAUUGCUGGGCUCUGUACAGAGGUAGUGUAGGUUAAGUAUAAAAUUAAAGUUAGCUUAAGUUUGGUUAAGGAGAUAUAUAUGUGUGUUGUAAAGCCAAGAAAGGCCCUAGCUAGCAAGUAGAAGGACAGCCUUGAAAAUAAGAAGUGAUAAGGUCAGAAGGAAUAACGUAGGGAAGAUGGUUCAAAGAAUAACUAAUGAGAUAAGUGGAAGUUUCUAAAAAGAAGGCCCCUGACAAAUAGGGGGUAACUGCUUAAAAUGCGCCAACACAGCCCUUCCCCAACCCAUACUCCAGUGUUAAAGCCUACGUGAACCCAGAUGCAAUGGGUAAACUGUUGAAUAGCAAGAAGGCAGGGAGGAAAGGCCUUGGGAAGAAAAGAGAGAAAUUCUUAAAAGUUCACUUUUAAUAUCUGCCUGACCUCAUUGGAGCUGACCAAAAUGGGUCUAAGCAUCUCUGGGUUUAGCCAGCUUCCAGAUACCACUUCUGGCUUCUGAACUGAAUACAACAGCUGGACAUUGAGGACAGCCAUAGCAACUCUGCAGGAUGCUGAAAGGUUUGUGGCUAGAAUUAAACUGCACAACUGGGACCUGUUUAAUAUUAAAGAAAAACUGACAUAUGAAUAAGUUUAAAUACAAUGGGUAAAGUUUUAAAAAAACAGGUUGACUAUGACUGAAACUUAGGCUUCUAAGUGCCAAAGUCACUUUUGAAAAAGCUUAUCCAAGCACAGUUUACUUUGCCAUUCAAGCAAUUAAGGAAAGAAUAUAUCUGAGCUAUCCUCAGUUGUUUGUAUGGAGAUAUGAUGCAGUGCUGAUAUGCUUACUAAUGUCAAACAGAAUAAAACACCGAAGUGACAGGAGGUAAAGCUUACUGAGCAGCCCUUGCACAUUAAUCUUCUUUUCUCAUAAAAGGACAUUUUUAAAAGCUGCCAUACUAAUCCUGCCUUAAAAUGUUACAUAAAUGACUGAUCCUAAAGUGGAAAAUGAUGAGUUUAAAGUAGCAAUCUAGUUAAAACCCCUAUUUUCAAAGUGAAGCUGUUGCCUAUGUCUAACUGCACUACUUUUCUGGU